GGUUCCAGAAACCUGCUGCUCCCAGAUACUUCAGGAAACAGUAAGGCUUUAGAUCAUUUUAUGAGAGUGUGCUUCUACAAUCUCCAGCUCACUAGUAAUAACUGACAAGUGUUUGCAUGUACAUAUAAACAGAAAAAUCUAAAUGCAGUGCUUUCACUUAUAUGUCACAAAAAAUUUGCAGAAAGGAUGUUACCUAAACCAGUAUAAGCUACCCUUAAAAAAAUCAGAAAGCAAUAUUACUUUACUUGAAAAUGCUCACUUUCAAAGGAGCUAUUUUCCACUAAGAUUUUACCUAUGUUAAUGAGUUAUAUUAAGGGGUAAAAACAAGUAGAAUAAGUACUGUGUGUUUCUAAG